rnacentral:tRNA from 1 species
CGGGAUAUAACUCAGUUUGGUAGAGUGCUUGGUUUGGGACCAAGAUGCCGCAGGUUCGAAUCCUGUUAUCCCGA